AGCUUUGCACAGUGGCAGUAUCAUAGCCGAUGUGGUUUAUCCGAGGUGCGAUUAUUGCUAAUUGAAAACUUUUCCCAAAUAUGUCCAUGAGAACUCAUCAUGGCCAUGGACACUAAGUGCAAGGAAAAUGCCUCUGGACACAAUUUC